CCGGUGAUUGGCGGAGGCCUGCGGGGGGCGGGGCGGUGGGUGUGGCUAACGGCGAGGGAAAGGCGUUGGCAGUUAUUUUUCCGAUGGCGGCGUCCCAGCCGGUUGUUUCUGUGCGGUCCUCUAAGCUGACUUCCCCGUGACAAAGCGGUUGUUGGGGACGGCCCGGGAAGCUCAGAACUGCCUUGAGGAUGCAGGAAACCCCUUGAGGCCGGGAUGUGGAGCGCCUGGGCACCCUUGACUUACCCCGCGUGGGUUUCCGAGCUUUGGGUUGGCGCGCCCCGGGCCGCUCCGAAGCCGCUUGUGAGCUCUUCCCCGCUUGCCGGGGCCUCAGCCCUGCGCUUCUCCGCUCUGUUCUCCUUCACCUCUGACUUGUCUCUAUCAUGGAAGAAGGAUUCCAUCCUCCCAUCCCAGGGAGGACAGUCUCCCGCGCGGUCAAGAAAAAGCCCAGGACUCCAAGGACAAAAAUGGUCCCUGCCCGUGAUCAUCAGGCAAGCUAUAACAAAGCGUGGAGGCCGUCUGUCUGUCCACACUGCCUUUUUCUAGGAGCUGGGAAGACACCCUUCAGAAGGACUGGUCCCAUGGGACCUUGCCCGGGCUUCCCAGCCUUGCCUGAGCUUUAGCUAUCUGGAAAAGGAUCUGCUCGUAGGACCUGGGACUCCCGGGUCCCUGCACCACACCCUAGAAUAUCCUAUACUCUAUCUUAGGGAGGAGAUUCGAGCUUCAGG